CGACUACUGUAAAAUCCUGAAGGCAAUCGUCGGCCAAAACUAGACUAAAAUUAUUCACUGCGCUUAAUUUUUCACCAUAAGGAUUGGACAUUUCUUCAACCGAUAUUUCUUUACUGUGAUAUGUGACUUAUUCCCCUAUUAAGUAUAUAUAUAUAUUUUUUUGAAAAAUGCAUGUAUUCUGUUUUAUAGUCUUGUUGUGGGAACCUGUAAAUUCUAGACUUGAAUCCAAAGCUCAAAAUGAUAGUAAUCAUGUUUUACCUAGAUGAAAUUUUUUAACUGCAUAUUUAUUUAUCUGAAACCUGUUUGUUAUUUUUAUUGGUCCAUUAGUAUAUGCAGGCACAUAUAUUUUUCUCAUUUUAUCAGAUUCAUAUAAUUGAACUGUGAGUCAACUUCUAAGUUUACAAUGGUAUGGUAGUUUUAUUAGAUGAUCUGCAAUUUGUUUUGUUUUUUUUUUUUGCAAUGUGUUAAACAUAUUUUUGAAGAGUUCCACACAAUAAUUCUUCCUUAUUAUGAACAGCUUUAAUAACUCAAUAAAGUUUUGACAAAAAUC
rnacentral:misc_RNA from 1 species